CCUACGGGAGGCAGCAGUGGGGAAUAUUGGGCAAUGGGCGCAAGCCUGACCCAGCAACGCCGCGUGAAGGAAGAAGGCUUUCGGGUUGUAAACUUCUUUUAAGAGGGAAGAGCAGAAGACGGUACCUCUUGAAUAAGCCACGGCUAACUACGUGCCAGCAGCCGCGGUAAUACGUAGGUGGCAAGCGUUGUCCGGAUUUACUGGGUGUAAAGGGCGUGGAGACGGGAAGACAAGUCAGAUGUGAAAUCCCGGGGCUCAACCGCGGAACUGCAUUUGAAACUGUUUUGCUUGAGUACCGGAGAGGUAAUCGGAAUGCCUAGUGUAGCGGUGAAAUGCGUAGAUAUAAGGAAGAACACCAGUGGCGAAGGCGGAUGACUGGACGGAAACUGACGGUGAGGCGCGAAAGCGUGGGGAGCAAACAGGAUUAGAUACCCUUGUAGUC
rnacentral:rRNA from 1 species